GACAGAGGCCUCAAGCGUUAGGCGGAAUCACUGGGCUUAAAGCGUGUGUAGGCGGAUCGUUAAGUGUCUUGUGAAAUCCCACGGCUCACCCGUGGAACUGCUGGGCAUACUGGCGAUCUUGGGCCAACUAGGGGCAACUGGAACAAGCGGUGGAGCGGUGAAAUGCGUAGAUAUCGCUUGGAACGCCAAAGGUGAAAACAGGUUGCUGGGGUUGUGCCGACGCUGAG
rnacentral:rRNA from 1 species